GACGGAAGGUGCAAGCGUUGCUCGGAAUCACUGGGCGUAAAGGGUGCGUAGGCGGCCGUGUAAGUCUGGCGUGAAAGCCCCGGGCUCAGCCCGGGAAGUGCGCUCGAAACUGCACGGCUCGAGUGCCGGAGGGGAGAGUGGAGUUCCUGGUGUAGCGGUGAAAUGCGCAGAUAUCAGGAGGAACACCAAUGGGCGAAGGCAGCUCGCUGGGACGUGACUGAC
rnacentral:rRNA from 1 species